AUACUAUCACCAAAAAUAGGCUUUUAUCAUUAUAAAUCCCUUUUUAAAAUUGCCUGUCCUAUGAUAAUACUCGUGUCAGAAGAAAACCAACAAAUUCAAAAUCAAAGACUGGAAAUAUCUACUUAAUGUAACUUUUUAUUCAGAUAAAUAUGAUAACAAACUAUUCAAGAUGUUAAAAUGAUUCCAAAAAAACGAUGAUUCCUUUAUUUAUUCAAGAUAAUGCUUAAGGUACCUUGAAUGUACAUUGUUAUACUCUCAAUAAAAGAGUUAACAGCUUUAUUUAUAGGGACGAAGUCUUGAAAAUGAGAGAUGUUUUGUUUAGUUCCAUCGUCUGUUAAACAAUUAUCUGACUCGGGGGUGAAGACAACAAGUACAUGUGUAUUAUUAUUCAAGCCAUCAAUUUGAAAUGAUCUAGAUUUUUCAAGUAACAAAAAAAAUGAACAAUUUGGUAAAAAAUACAGUCCUUGAGACACUAAACCAAAUCUGAUAUAUUAGUUAUGUUAGAAUUAAGAAAAAAUAAAUAAGAAUACUCAUAGAUAUAAGAAAUAUGUGUAUAACAUUGUGCUUUGUUUAAUUUUAAAUUUCAGAUUUUUUUCUAAUUCAUAUGCGAGCUCAAAAUUAUAAAUGCACUUUAUAUACUGUAAACCAAUUUUUAUUUGCGGCGACUUUAUUUCGCGAUUAACUGGAGAUAAACUGGUUCGCGAAGACUAAUGUUCGCGACCAAGCAUUAUCCAGGCCUGUAUUGUUAUAGAAAUUAUAGAAAAAGGAUUGGUUCGCGGCGAGGAAUAUUCGCGACGGCAAGACUCUUCGCUAACCUCGCGAAAAUUUCUCGCACGCGAAUAAAAAUUGGUUUACUAGCAUGAUACUGGAUACAGUCUGGAUCUCAUUAAGCAAUGGAAUAACGAGUGUCUAUUUGUGUUUGUAAAUCUGUGUACAGAAUUUAUCUUGACCCUAAGAGGGCUAAGUCCUAUGUCAUUACAAUGUAUAUGAAUUAUUAUUUUUUUGGUGUUAUGUUCAUUUAAUAUAUUAUUGACUGUUAAACAAGUUUAUAGAAAGAGUUGUUAAUUUAUUUUGUUUUUAUGUACUGUAAUAAUGUUUGACAGUGCAAUAUGAUUUCAUUAUUAAAUAUA
rnacentral:sRNA from 1 species